AAAUUAAAAAUUAGACUCUUUCAGCCUGCCCGAUAUGGUAGGUUUCAUCUCAAAUCGGGCAGGCUAAAAGGGUCUAAUUUUUAAUUU
rnacentral:pre_miRNA from 1 species